rnacentral:rRNA from 1 species
AACGAACGCUGGCGGCAUGCCUAACACAUGCAAGUCGAACGAGACCUUCGGGUCUAGUGGCGCACGGGUGCGUAACGCGUGGGAACCUGCCCUUAGGUUCGGAAUAACUCCCCGAAAGGGGUGCUAAUACCGGAUAAUUUCUUCGGACCAAAGAUUUAUCGCCUUUGGAUGGGCCCGCGUUGGAUUAGCUAGUUGGUAGGGUAAAAGCCUACCAAGGCGACGAGCCAUAGCUGGUCUGAGAGGAUGAUCAGCCACACUGGGACUGGGACACGGCCCAGACUCGUACGGGAGGCAGCAGUGGGGAAUAUUGGAGAAGGGGCGAAAGCCUGAUCCAGCAAGGCCGGGUGAGUGAUGAAGGCGUUAGGGUUGUAAAGCUCUUUUACCCGGGAUGAUAAUGACAGUACCGGGAGAAUAAGCUCCGGCUAACUCCGUG